GAUGAACGCUGGCGGCGUGCCUAACACAUGCAAGUCGAGCGAUCUUCUUCGGAAGAGAGCGGCGGACGGGUGAGUAACGCGUGGGUAACCUGCCCUGUACACACGGAUAACAUACCGAAAGGUAUGCUAAUACGAGAUAAUAUGCUUUAUCGCAUGGUAGAAGUAUCAAAGCUCCGGCGGUACAGGAUGGACCCGCGUCUGAUUAGCUAGUUGGUAAGGUAACGGCUUACCAAGGCGACGAUCAGUAGCCGACCUGAGAGGGUGAUCGGCCACAUUGGAACUGAGACACGGUCCAAACUCCUACGGGAGGCAGCAGUGGGGAAUAUUGCACAAUGGGCGAAAGCCUGAUGCAGCAACGCCGCGUGAGCGAUGAAGGCCUUCGGUCGUAAAGACUCUGUCCUCAAGGAAGAUAAUGACGUACUUGAGGAGGAAGCCCGGC
rnacentral:rRNA from 1 species